rnacentral:rRNA from 1 species
ACUCCUACGGGAGGCAGCAGUGGGGAAUAUUGCACAAUGGGCGAAAGCCUGAUGCAGCGACGCCGCGUGGGGGAUGACGGCCUUCGGGUUGUAAACCUCUUUCAGUAGGGAAGAAGCGAAAGUGACGGUACCUGCAGAAGAAGCGCCGGCUAACUACGUGCCAGCAGCCGCGGUAAUACGUAGGGCGCAAGCGUUGUCCGGAAUUAUUGGGCGUAAAGAGCUCGUAGGUGGCUUGUCGCGUCUGCCGUGAAAACCCGAGGCUCAACCUCGGGCGUGCGGUGGGUACGGGCAGGCUGGAGUGUGGUAGGGGAGACUGGAACUCCUGGUGUAGCGGUGAAAUGCGCAGAUAUCAGGAAGAACACCGAUGGCGAAGACAGGUCUCUGGGCCAUUACUGACACUGAGGAGCGAAAGCAUGGGUAGCGAACAGGAUUAGAUACCCUGGUAGUCCAUGCCGUAAACGUUGGGCACUAGAUGUGGGGGACAUUCCACGUUUUCCGCGUCGUAGCUAACGCAUUAAGUGCCCCGCCUGGGGAGUACGGCCGCAAGGCUAAAACUCAAAGGAAUUGACGG